rnacentral:rRNA from 1 species
AGUGAACGCUGGCGGUAGGCCUAACACAUGCAAGUCGAACGGCAGCACAGUAAGAGCUUGCUCUUACGGGUGGCGAGUGGCGGACGGGUGAGGAAUACAUCGGAAUCUACUUUUUCGUGGGGGAUAACGUAGGGAAACUUACGCUAAUACCGCAUACGACCUACGGGUGAAAGCAGGGGAUCUUCGGACCUUGCGCGAUUGAAUGAGCCGAUGUCGGAUUAGCUAGUUGGCGGGGUAAAGGCCCACCAAGGCGACGAUCCGUAGCUGGUCUGAGAGGAUGAUCAGCCACACUGGAGCUGAGACACGGUCCAGACUCCGACGGGAGGCAGCAGUGGGGAAUAUUGGACAAGGGGCGGAAGCCUGAUCCAGCCAUACCGCGUGGGUGAAGAAGGCCUGCGGGUUGUAAAGCCCUUUUGUUGGGAAAGAAAAGCAGCAGGUUAAUACCCCGCUGUUCGGACGGUACCCAAAGAAUAAGCACCGGCUAACUUCGU